rnacentral:rRNA from 1 species
CUACGGGAUGCUGCAGUGAGGAAUAUUGCACAAUGGAGGAAACUCUGAUGCAGCAACGCCGCGUGGAGGAUGACGCAUUUCGGUGUGUAAACUCCUUUUAUAUGUCAAGAAAAUGACGGUAGCAUAUGAAUAAGCACCGGCUAACUCCGUGCCAGCAGCCGCGGUAAUACGGAGGGUGCAAGCGUUACUCGGAAUCACUGGGCGUAAAGGACGCGUAGGCGGGAUAUCAAGUCAGGUGUGAAAUCCUACAGCUUAACUGUAGAACUGCACUUGAAACUGGUAACCUAGAGUAUGGGAGGGGGAGAUGGAAUUAGUGGUGUAGGGGUAAAAUCCGUAGAUAUCACUAGGAAUACCUAAAGUGAAGGCGAUCUCCUGGAACAUAACUGACGCUAAGGCGUGAAAGCGUGGGGAGCAAACAGGAUUAGAUACCCCCGUAGUC